rnacentral:tRNA from 2 species
GGGCCGUUAGCUCAGGGGGAGAGCGCUUCCCUGACACGGAAGAGGUCGCUGGUUCAAAUCCAGCACGGCCCA